rnacentral:rRNA from 1 species
GAUGAACGCUGGCGGCGUGCCUAAUACAUGCAAGUCGAGCGAACAGACGAGGAGCUUGCUCCUCUGACGUUAGCGGCGGACGGGUGAGUAACACGUGGAUAACCUACCUAUAAGACUGGGAUAACUUCGGGAAACCGGAGCUAAUACCGGAUAAUAUAUUGAACCGCAUGGUUCAAUAGUGAAAGACGGUUUUGCUGUCACUUAUAGAUGGAUCCGCGCCGCAUUAGCUAGUUGGUAAGGUAACGGCUUAACAAGGCAACGAUGCGUAACCGACCUGAGAGGGAGGACGGGCACCCGGGAAGUGAGACUGGGUACAGACACCGAGGGGGAGAAGCAGUAGGGAAUCUUCCGCGAGGGGGGAAAGCUUGACCGAGCGAAGCGGCGUGAGGGAUGACGGUCUUCGGAUCGUAAAACUCUGUUAUUAGGGGAAAACAAAUGUGUUAGUAACUAUGCACGUAUUGACGGUACCUGAUCAAAAAGCCACGGCUAACUACGUG